AUUCCCCAUGACCAUCGACUGGUCACUAUCUCUCAUUUCCUCAAAAUACACAAAAGCAGAGCUCUUUUCUCCUUCCUUUUCUCCCUCUGCUCCAUUAUCACCAAAACAAGGAAACCCUAAUCCUCACCCUAGCCUGCCAUCGCUGGCCACUAGCCUGUCGUUAGGAUGCACAAGAAUCACCCUUUUUCUUUGUCUCCCCAAUUCAUGAAAUCAAAGAGGACUGAGAAUCAGUCUCUAAAUCCAUGAUAUUCUUGAAAAUUGCCAUUGAAAGCCAGAGGUUCGUGCUGGGAGAGGUUGCAAAAUCUCAAAACUUCUUCUUUAUCUUUCCAUUUUUUUAUUUUAAGUUUUCAAAUUUGGAUUUUCAUGUCCAGAUAUGCUUCUAUAAAAUGGGGCUUCACCAUCUCCGAAAAAAAAUGUGGAGGAGGAGAGCGAAAAAAGAUGGAGAAGGAGAGCGAAAAAUUAGGUGGAGAAGGAGAGAAAAAAAGAAAAGAGGAAAUAUUCAUGAAAAGAAGCUAAAGAAAAAGAAAAAAAUUGAGUGAAGAGUGAAAAAAAAGAUGUGAAAAAGGGAUAAUAUUGAGAAAAAUUAGAAAUUUGGAGAGAUCAGAAGCAAAAAACACACACACAAAAAAAAAAAAUUGGAAGAAAGGAAGUCAAAAAAAGAAAACAACUCAUAUUUUGAUAAUUUUUAGCAAAGUCGUGUCUUUCAAUAGCUGGUUUUCUUUUGAUUUUGUGCUAAAUUUUGUAUCUCGAAUUGAGUUUGAGGUCGCUGAAAAAUUCAACGUCAACCUCCGUUUGCUGCACCAACAAAGGAAAUUGCGGAACACCUAAGCUUGACUUCAAAAGGUCAUAAACAUGCUUAAAUAUAUUCAUCUGGUCUGGAACUGUGGUUCGUCAUUCUUGAUCUCAACUUUUAAUACAAACCAUUAUCCCCUUCCGGUCAUAUUUCCUUAUCUCUUGUUUCUCCUAAGAUUCAGAUUCGAAUCUAGUUUUAAGACGUUUGAAAUAAUGCAAAAAUCGUCCUGUAUUUUGUCUUUCUAUAGUAUACGUUUUCUUAUCCCACUUUGAUAUUAUUUUACUUUACCUAAAAACGGAAUUGAUGGGCAUGAUUUGUUUUAACAUUUUUUUUUUUUAAAAAGUUUUCCUGUCCUAAUAAAUAUACGUUCGAAUUGGAGUCUAGAUUUGUUGAGUUCAACCUUGUAUUUUUCAUAAUCCUAGGAUUAUUUUUUAUUCCCAAAUGAAACCACAUAUCCUUAAUACUAGUUGUAUUUCUAGUUGUCCACUCAAAAUAAUUGUAAUGUGCCAAGAAUCGCAUCCCUUGGCUUUGGUAAUGAAAACAUGACCUGAAUGUUUGCUAUCAUUUUAUUUUAAUAAAGUAUACCUUAUAGUCAUGUUCUGCUCAUUUGAAUACAAUAUUCCUAUGCUUAUAUGCCCUUUUCUUAAUGUAUUAUUAUAAUUUUAUGGUUGUUGAUUGGUCACUAGCUCCUUAUUCUUUUAUUUUACAUGUACUUGGGAGUUGUGGUUCUUCAAUGGAACUCACUUUGACCCAACAUUGGGUCAAAGGCUAAUAGGAGUGCAGAGCCUCGGAGUACAGCAAAAAUAGGAGUCUAAGCUUCUAAGCCGAGUUUAUUAUUCUUUAUUGCCUUCCGAUUUAAUUUAUAUCCCCAUGUUGAGUUUUAUUUACUAACCCUGUGUUUAUUUACUUUGCUUGAGACAGCUUCAUGGGCUUAUUAUUAUUUUACUCCUUUAUUGUAUACCUAUCCUUUAGUUGAAGA